rnacentral:rRNA from 1 species
AAACGAUUGAAGUCAGUCGUGUCCGGGGGGUUCAGCCGGUUCUGCCGGUGCAUUCCCCUCGGAUGGGUCAACAUCGGUUUUGGCCGACGGAUAAUGGCAGGGGGAAGGUGGCACCCUCGGGUGUGUUAUAGCCCUCUGUCGGAUACGUCGGCUGAGACCGAGGAACGCAGCUCGCCUUCAUGGCCGGGGUUCGCCCAUGUCCGAGCUUAGGAUGUUGACAAAAUGGCUUUAAACGA